rnacentral:lncRNA from 1 species
UUUGCUUACUGUUGCAAAGAAAUUGGCCAGGUGAGCAUCUGAACUCAGAUGUAAGUGUUGGAGAAACUCAAAGAGAAGGAGCAUCUGUUGUAAUAGAGCUGAGCAAUGACUUGGCUGCCAGAAAAGCCAGACUUUGUGGGAAGGGCCAAAGGUGAGUGGGAGAGAACUAUCUAGAAUAUUUGCUGUGGGAAAGAAAAGAGUAUGCAAUUUGGUGAGAAGAAUGGCUAUCAAAUAAUGAAAUAGGCCAUUUUGUGAGGAGAAUGGUGUCUAAAAUUUUAUAACAAUCAUAGUGGGUGAGAUCUUUUCUACUGUCAUGAAAUUAGAAGCACCUACUGUUACUGGUAAUAACAACUCCUGACCUGAGUAUAUCAAAUAAAUUCUUCAAGGGCUGGAAAAUUACUGUUGUCAUGGAGAACUGAAACUGUCGGACUGAAGAGAACUUUUCUGUAGGAUUUAGAACAGUCUGAGUUGCUGCUUUUUAAUGUUACCAUCACCAAAGAGAAAUGGAUAUUCUAGAUGAUAAAGUUUGCUUACAAUCUAAAAAUUUUUAGUAUCUGGGAAAAAGUCAUCUGAUCAAUAAUCUCAACUUGCGUCACUGUUUUUCAAAGAGCCAUUUUUUUUUCAAUGUUUCAAAAUAGUAUGAGUUCAUAUUAAUCAUUUUUGGAGGACAGAAGGAACAAAUGGUAUCCAUAGAACUGAGAAGGUAUCUUGAGACCAAAAAACAAGACAGACAGCUCCAUAUUAUCAGUGGAUCCAUUUAUUAUAGGGUAACUUACCUACAGGGUAGUAUUGGUUUCUUGACAAUCUGGAAGCAUUCACAGCUUCAUUCUGCACUGCUGAGGGGCCACUGGGACAAAAUAGGAAGUGCUUUGAAAAUAGGAAGUGCAUUCCUAGGCCAAGAUUUAUGAAUGGGUAAGUAGGCUCUUGGGCCCUGGAAAUCAGCUAAAGUCUUCAUAGUUUGGAGACUAACAGAACAUCGAGGCCAGCUAUACCUAAAGAUCUUUAAACAAUAUCUAUUUGUGACAAAGACGACAAAGAAGAGAUUUACUACACAGCACAGCCCUAAGUAGGGCCAAUAGAAGGACAGGAGGAACUAAACAGGCCCAAAUGACAUCACUUAUGCUAAUAGCUAUACAACCAUAUAAACUACUGUGUUCAUUACCAUUAUAAAAGUGAAUGAAUACUUACUUAGAAUUAGGUAGUUUAUUGAAUUAAAUGUCUUGAAUUAGUUGUAAAUAGCAUUUAAAAAAAACCAAAAUGAUUCUAAAAUUAAAGGGAUAAAAGAAUAAAAUGGUUAAAUUAUAUAUCUUUAUAAGCAAUAUUAAAUUUAGGAAAAUUUAAUAUAACUUCAUAUUUAUUAUUCCUCAUUGAAAAAUAUAUUUCCUGUAAAAAAAUCAAAUGAAAAUUCAGGUAGGGAUAUAUUUAAUAAAAUUGAGUUUAAAAAACUAUUAUAAUUGCAGAUACUGAGAAAUUUGAAAGACUCUGAAUAGGUGUUAUUGAGUAAGCACAGUUAUCUAGGUAACUAAUUCAUUCCUAAUAUAUCUAUUCAACAUAAGUGUAUUGAACACCUACCACAUGUCACUGGCAGAAAUGGCAUUGAACAAAUCUUACAAAAAACUUUGUCCUCAGAGACUGUACAUAAAUAUUGCCAUUAUAUACUCAUUACAUCUUAAUUAGUUAUAUAUUAGAUUAAAUAUUAAUAUCAUGACUACUAUUUGGCUUUGAUUAUAAAAUCUUCAAAAAAUACUGUUAGAACAUUUCCAUCACCUAAAAUAUUCUAUAUCUUGUUUGUGGUAGUGGUGGUAAUAUGGGUAUAUACACUUGUCAAAAGACAUCAAAAUUAAAAUUUAUAAUUAAACUGGACAGUUCAAACUAGUGGAUUAGAAUUAAAAUUGUCAUUCAUAAAUUAUAUCUUAAUAAAGUAGAAUUUAAGUGCUAAUAAAAUAUUUUUAUUUGUAUGCUUACACAUACAUACCUAAAUUUCACAAGUGUAUUUAUUUUUGAUGUGGAAAUAAAAAGAGACAGUGAAAAAGCGUGAGAAGGAGCUGUGGCUUGAUAUAAUUUGGGAGAUCUAGGGUAAUAUAUUUGUUGCAUUUUAGGAAUGUCAUUAUUAUUUAAAAUGAAGUAAUUUCAUCUUUACUUGCCCUUCAGAAUCUUAAGAUAAUAUUACUGAGGGCACUAAUAGAUGGCAUAGUGUAGGCCUCUUAUGAACUUUGGAUGAUUUAUGUAAAUUAUAUUCUCUUGCUAUAAUAUUUACCUUUCUUUGGAGCUUUAUUUGUAGGAAUAGUUUAUAAAGAAACAUGUUUUUGCAAAGAAAUAAAUAAAAUAAAAAUUAGUUUGUCUUCCGCUUAUCUGACACUCAUUAAGUUCUGUUAUAUGGUUUAAGAGAAUCAAAAUAGCACAUAUCCUACCUGUGAUUAAUGACAGAAUCAGUUCACAAGAGAAUUUACAGCUGAAGCCUCAGAGACUAGCUAUCUAAGUCUGUGCCACAAAUUAUAAAUGGUUGGGUUUAAGAGAGUAUCGGGGAAGGAAAGCAAGAACAGAGGCUGCUGACUUGAGUCCUUUUGAAUGGAACAAACUGAUAUUGGGCUAGAAACAGAUUCAUUGCUUUAUCCUCAAAUAGAAGAUUCACAUGUCACACCACUAACAAAUUCAGAAGGCAAAUGUGUUUCUGUUGUUUGUUUAAGAUUGUUCUAACAGCACAACGAAGCCCUUAUGUUGUAAUUACGUAAAAAUGAAGGCAGACUUAUCUGUUAAGAUAGAAAAUAGAGAAGAAAAUCAAUAUGAAUAACCUAAAACUAAGUUGCCAAAUAUGAGUAAUUAUGACUUAUAAUGAAAUAGCUGUGUUUCUUGCUAUUUUCUCUUGCGGGAAAUCUUUAUACCUACUUUCCCCUCCAUUUUUCUUAUGCAGUAAACAUUGACUUAUACCUCAAAGUUUAGCUCAUGUCUUACCUCAUCUUUGCUCCUUGCUUCAGUCUCUAUUUCUAUCCAGACUGCACUUUUAUCCUGGUUGGUCAUGAUACAGGUGUAUGGUCCUUGCCCAAGACAGUUACCAUAUAGUAUUAAAGUUAUUACCAGGGGGCAGCUCCUUAAUAAAGUAAUUG